rnacentral:lncRNA from 1 species
GUGAGUAUCAAAAAUACACAACAGAUCUGUAGAUUCAGAAGUGAAUAAAUCUCUCGAUGUUAACUAUUGUUUCCAUAUUUCUCGGGUUGCAUUAACCUAUGUUUUCAGUAACUGUCCCUGAGACAUCCACCUAGUCAAAUAGAAAACCCAGUUGUUUAACAAUUCUGCUAAGACCUUCAAAAGGUUGGUGCUGGGUCAUCAGCUCAGUGUUCCACAUAAUGUAAACAGGUUAAGGGUUUAGAUGACCUUACCCUCAAUUUAUUAAAAGAAAACAAACUUCAAUCUAACUGUUUCACCAUCCUCUGGAGGAGUAGAAAACAAAAUAGCUGCUGAAAUCUUAUCAGCUAGAGAGGCACAUCGCCUUACAGCAUGUUAAUAACAUUUCACAGGGAAGAGAAAGGGAACACGUUAUAACAGUUUCACACCAAACUUGCUAAGAAUGAGAUUGUUGCAAGGUUAGCGCAAGCUACAAUCUAGUGUCUCUCCUCUAACUAUACGGUGCCCCGUAUAGCUGAAUUGGGCACCUUCUAACGUAAACACUUGUAAUCUUAAUCUUUUUGACCUUUUGCAUUGACAUACAAUUCUGUGCGAACUGUCCCAAAUUUCCCCACUGUGUCUCUCACAGCCUGUUUGAGUUCAGUGUGUACUGGCGGCGAUCUAUUGUUCCACAGGAAGGUUAUCUCUAAUCCAAACAACAGAUGACAUAAACAAGAGAGCAGUAGACCAGGCCUUGAAGAGUGAGCAGCCUCUAAUUUAAUAUCAGUCCCAAUGCUCAAUCCCUCUGUCUUACUCCUUCAAAUGUCUAAGAUAUUGUAUUAUUAGAUUGUUAUCUGAAAGCCAAUUAUCAUUCACUUUGUUACAUUCACUAGUCUCCAUAAUCUGUUUCCUUCAACUAAAACCCUUCUACUCUUUCCAGUAGAAAAAAAAACAUUCUCAAUCAAUACUCCUAAUACGCACGGAUCACUCUCAAACCACAUUUGGCUUUUUUUCCCUACUGCAAGGUUUAAAACAAAACAAAGCAAAAAUGAUAGCUGUCUCCAUAUUGUAAAGCAUUGUUUUCAUUUUAGUACACCUUCAAAAAGUUACUCAAUAUUUUUAUUACCAAUCUCUGUUGGAUAUUCUUCAAUAUUUAUGAAAUGUUUAUUAUUUUAAGAUUCAUAUGUAAUGCUUUGGAGGGAUCAAUAUGUAUUAACUGGGUUGGCACUGACUCAUCCACAGCAGAUGUUGCACUCGGUCCAUAAUAAGUCUGGCACAUGAACAUAACACAGAAAUGAGUUGUAAGAAUAUUAGUAGUUCUAAGAAUAGCACAAACAUAAAAAUGUCCCUUACAACAUGUUACCCUUAUAAUGACUACCCUUGACGGUGACUUGAAACUAUGUCUUCCGGUUGCUCAUCACAUAAGUACGUAUCACCAAACAGCGCUCUUUUGAUGAAUAACCCUGCUGGAUCUUGAGGACUGUUAAUGUAGCAGAUGGGGAUCUGUGAAACUCCCUCCUUAGACUGAAGUGUCCCCCCUUACGCAAUUGCAGAAGGCCUUUUUAAAUAGCACGAUGCGUUGGAAUACUUCAGCAGGGCAGUCACGUGUUUUCAAGGCAGAAGUCCUGAGUUUGAGUCUCCGUUUGAGCUGAAGCAGGGGGAGCGGUACUCUAUAAGCAGGCAGUGUGAUGUCCUUUACAAUGGUGCCACUGGACUCGGAUCUACAACUGCGCUCAGCUCAACCCCUGGAACUGCUGUGGAGUGAGUUUGGGGGGGUGAAUGUAGAAGAUGGGAUCUGUGAAAAUCAUCAGCCUGAACUGUCGCCCCUUAUGCAAUUGACGAAGGCCUUUUUCAACAGCGCGGUGGGUUGGAUCUCUUCAGGAGGGCGGUCAGCCGUGUGUUUGCGAGGCAGAUGUCCUGAGUUCGAGCCUCGAUAUGAGCUGAAUCAGGGGGAAGCGUGACUCGAUAAUCAAGCAGCAUGUCGUCCUUUACAUGAACUUCCUGAACUUAUCCUUAUAGGCUUUAGCUAAGUGGGCUAACACAAUCUUGUGACAUGCAGGAGACCUGGUUCCAAUCCAGUCAGUUCAAAUAUUAAAUAGGGAGUGGAAAGGCUACGUAAUUUUUUUUGUGACACUCCCUUCCAACCUGUCCUGCGUGACCUGUGAUCAUCUUAGCGGGGAACAGAAGGAAUGUCCGCGUUCUAGAGAGUCGUAGCAUUCAGGAAUGGGGCAGAGCAGGCAACAGAUGGCACACAGACAGCAGAGUUGGGGACAGAUAUGCAGGGACAGACUGGCAGAGACAGGGAGUCUCAGCCAAGUUCCUUUUCUUUGUUCUGACACUGUCAUGCAGCAUUUUGACCAUCCUGUGUCACUUUACUUGGACUAAGAAAAUACACUUUAUGAAACUGUCAAGAAGCAUUAAGACCAUCUAAAUGCCAGAUAGGCCUUUCACGUACGUACAUAUCAGUCAUCAGUCAAAAAGAGGGUGUCUUGUCCUGCUCCUGAAAUCUGCUCCUGCAUUCAUCCCAGUCAUCAGCAACAGAGCAUUGGGGUAGGUCCAUGUCUAACAUCAAUAUGUGCACAAUUACAAUGAUAAUUGAAUAUGGUCAAUUUACAUACUGUUGACACGUAGGCUAUGGUGUAAU